GACGAACGCUGGCGGCGUGCUUAACACAUGCAAGUCGAACGGAAAGGCCCUGCUGUUGUGGGGUGCUCGAGUGGCGAACGGGUGAGUAACCCGUGAGUAACCUGCCCUUGACUUUGGGAUAACUUCAGGAUACUGGGGGUAAUACCGGAUAGGAGCUCCUGUUGCAUGGUGGGGGUUGGAAAGUUUCGGCGGUUGGGGUUGGAAUCGCGGCUUAUUAGUUUGUUGGUGGGGUAGUGGCUUAUCAAGGCUUUGCCGGGUAGCCGGCCUGAGAGGGUGACCGGCCACAUUGGGACUGAGAUACGGCCCAGACUCCUACGGGAGGCAGCAGUGGGGAAUAUUGCACAAUGGGCGGAAGCCUGAUGCAGCAACGCCGCGUGCGGGAUGACGGCCUUCGGGUUGUAAACCGCUUUCGCCUGUGACGAAGCGUGAGUGACGGUAAUGGGUAAAGAAGCACCGGCUAACUACGUG
rnacentral:rRNA from 1 species